rnacentral:misc_RNA from 1 species
GGAAGAACGUAGCGAAAUGCGAUAAGUAAUGUGAAUUGCAGAAUUCAGUGAAUCAUCGAAUCUUUGAACGCACAUUGCGCCCCCUGGUAUUCCGGGGGGCAUGCCUGUCCGAGCGUCAUUACAACCCUCAAGCUCAGCUUGGUGUUGGGCCCCGCCGCCCCGGCGGGCCCUAAAGUCAGUGGCGGUGCCGUCCGGCUCCGAGCGUAGUAAUUCUUCUCGCUCUGGAGGUCCGGUCGUGUGCUCGCCAGCAACCCCCAAUUUUUUUCAGGUUGACCUCGGAUCAGGUAGGGAUACCCGCUGAACUUAAGCAUAUCAAUAAGCGGAGGA